rnacentral:rRNA from 1 species
GUGCCAGCAGCCGCGGUAAGACAGAGGGUGCAAACGUUGUUCGGAAUUACUGGGCGUAAAGCGCGUGUAGGCUGUCUCGCAAGUCGGGUGUGAAAGCCCUGGGCUCAACCUAGGAAGUGCACUCGAAACUGCGAGACUUGAGUCCUGGAGAGGAAGGCGGAAUUCUCGGUGUAGAGGUGAAAUUCGUAGAUAUCGAGAGGAACACCGGUGGCGAAGGCGGCCUUCUGGACAGUGACUGACGCUGAGACGCGAAAGCGUGGGGAGCAAACAGGAUUAGAAACCCCGGUAGUCC